GAUCAAAAUGAUAGAGUAGUGGUACAAAACAAGGAAAUAUUUUUCUACACACUCUGCAUUCAAUUAAAUUAUGUAAAUCACCGUUAUGUUUCUCUUAAUUGCUGAAUUAAUCUAUGAUUCAACUUACUUAAGAGAAAAAACUAAUGUAUACUUAUACUAAUUUAAUUGAAUGCCAAGUGUGUGGCAAAAUAUUUUUCUUAUGUAGAUCAUUUUGAUCAAGUUUAUGGAAGAAAAUGUUAUAUGUUAAUAAUUCAACGAAAUGUUAAAAAAUCAUGAAUGAAUAUGUUGGUUUAUAUGUUAUUAUUAUUUGAUAUUCAUUAUUGAUUCGCCGAGAAUUUUAGGACCGACUAUGAUUCGUUUUUGUACGAUUAGAAAAUUCCCUUCUUAAUAAGAGUAAUUUUUAAUUUUUAGUUUGUUUAAAAACUUUCUUGCAAGGAAAUCACUCCUAUCUAGGGUAUUUCUCCCUUUUAUCUUUGAGGCAAAUCAACUUUUCAUAUGAGGAAGACAAUAAGCCCUAGGUUAUUUUGUCCAAGAUAAGUAAUAAACUCUUUUUGCUUAUAAGACUUUCCAGUUUUUUAACACAUGUGUUAUAUGAGUUCAUUUUUUAGUACGUGUGUUGCACGGGCCUCUAAUGUUCCGAGUAAUUAAGUUUACAAUGAUAGUUGAGGUUGGUCAGUACCUCCAACGAGACCAUAAUGAUGGGACAUGUCGUUACAUUUAUGUUUCUUCUUGGAUGCCUUGUAACUCAAUUUUGUCUCCAAAAAUCUAUCUGUUGUCACAUAACUGAUUUUUCUUUAACUAAAAAAAAGGAUUUGUAGCCUCUUUCAAAGCUACAGAGCUAACAGAAUCCAAGAAGAGUUCUAAAUUAGUUGUCAGGGUCAGUUUGGACCAACUAAAAAGGCUAACUAGACAUCUGCCUCACCAUAGAUCUCUAGAAAGUUAAAAUUCCAUCAAAACAUCAUUUGUUCAUCUCUGUCAAUAAAAACCAAAAUAUUUACACCAAAAGAUAGCACUAGGGAUCAUUUAGUUCCCUGUCAUUUAGGUUUCUCCUGAACCUUUUGUCCUAAAUGUUAUCUGAUCUGUUGGAUGGUAUGGUAGAAUUUGAUUCAGUUGCAAUGAGGUGGAAAUCUUGAAAUUCCUCACCCAAAGUUGUGUCUCCCAACCAUAUGUCGUUCCAAAAUUUGAUGUGAGAUCCAUUGGCAACUCUAAAUGUGACGUUCCCAGCAAAAUCUGGCAAAGUUUACCGAUGCUUUUCCAUAGACCAACUCCAUAUGCAUCUGUUGAGACAUUUAUGGACCAGUGAGUAAGAUCACCAUGUUUAUCUUUGAUCACCUCUUUCCACUAUCCAAUGUCUUCAGUUCCGUACCUCCAUAAUAAUUUCAUCAUCAUGUUUUUAUUUGUAAGCUGCAAGAUCUUUAAUACCCAAACCUCCUUGAGAUUUCGGUUGUGUCACUUUUGCCCAUUUAACCUAGUGAAUCUUAUGAUCCUUGCGGUUUCCUUCGCAUAGAAAAUUUCUUCUCAUGCUAUCGAGCUUUUCGAGAACUUUUGCUGGAAUAGGUAAAAAGGGACAUAUUAUAUGUAGGGAUGCUAUCUAUUACACUAUUAAUCAAUAAAACUCUUCCUCCAAAAGAAAGAUAUUGCAUUUUCCAUGUUGCUAGUAUUUUUUCAAAUUUCUCAAUUAUUCCCAAUCAUAUAUCAUUAGACUUUAAAUUCGCACCUAAAGGCAACCUAAGAUAAGUUGUUGCAACACAUGAUUCCGGUUAGCUCUCCCAAGUUUACUGGAUAGACAGUGCUUUGUGACAUAUUUGUGUAUAGUCCAGCAACAACUUCAAAGAUGUGCAAAAUCAAGUUUAGCUUAAUAACUAAUGAUCUAUCUACUUGACAAAAUAGCAGAGUAUCAUCCGCAUACAACAGAUGUGAAAUUGUGACAUUGUUUCCCGUGAGACUGCCUACUUUGGAGCCUUCAAUCCAUUGUAGUUGCAUGCUUCUUGGGGCAUCUUACUCAGGCCUUCCAUAGCAAGGAUGAAAAGAAGGGAAAGAUAACUGAUCUAGAUUUAGAAUGAAUUGUCACACAAACUUUUAGGAAAAACACUCUUGAUAGAAGCGCUUUCUCUUGUAAGGAAGUAUUUCAAACAAACUAAAAAUUUAAAGUUCCUCUUUCUCCUAUAAAGAUGGUGAUAUUGUAAUCGAACAAGAAUGAAUCAUAGUCGGUCAUAAAAGAGGUUACUGAAAAAAUCUGACUUAACCUAAAUAUAAAUUGGUUGAAAAAUAAAUAAUGAAUAUCAAAUUAUUAUAUCAAAUAGUAAGAAUAUAUAUACUAAUAUGUUCAAAUAUGGUUUUACCAUUUUCUUGUAUUGCUAGCAUAGACCUUUUGUUUUAUGAACUUGAUCAAAAUGAUGAAAUAUUGGUGCAGCAUGAGGAAAUAUUUUGUCACAUACUCGACAUGCAAUUGAAUUAGUAUAAAUUACCAUUAUGUUUCUCUUAACUAUGUUGAAUUGAUAUAUGAUUUAACUUAAUUAAGAGAAAAAUAACUUAUACUUAUACUAAUAUAAUUGCAUGCCAAGUGUGUGACAAAAUAUUUCUUUACGCGUCUAUCAUUUUGAUGAAGUUUAUGGAAGAAAAUGUUAUUUGCUGACAAUAGUACGAAAAUGCCAAAAAAUAAUGCAUGAAUAUGUUAGUUUAUAUAGUAUUAUUAUUUGAUAUUCAUUAUUUAUUCGUCGACAAAUUUAUAUUUGGGUUAAGUCAAUUCUUUUGUUAACUCUUUAGGAUCGACUAUGGUUCAUUUUUGUUCGAUCAGAAAAUCACAAUCUUAAUAAGAAUUUUGAAUUUUUAGUUUGUUUAAAACUUACAAGGGAAAACGAUUCAAUCUAGGGUAUUUCUCCAUUCGAUUUUUAGAUGGUGAUUCAUUCUAAAUCGAUGCAACAUUAGCAUUUUUUAUACGAGGAAGAUGGACUUCGAAUUAUUAGUUAAAGUAAAACUUCCUUACCAGGGCAGCUAUCUAACAAGAGUGAAAAAGGUUUUAUGUAGGAGUUGUUCACUGGUAGUAUAGUUAUGAAAUUAAUACUAUUCUUGUAAAAUUUAGCAACUACUUCUUUAGCAUUUUGUUCCUUUAACUCUAUGUUCAAAGAUGACAAUUAGUCUUAUGUUAUUUUGUCCAAGAUAAACAAUGAACUCUUUUGCUUAUAAGAGUUAUAAUUAAGUUCAUAAUGAUAGUUGAGCUUUGUCAGUACCUCCUCCAAAAAUUCAAAGUUUCUCUUUCUCCUAUAAGGAUCGUGACUUUUUGAACGAACAAGAAUGAAUCAUAGUUCGGUCCUAAAGGAGGUAAAGAAAAGAACCCGACUUAACACAAAUAUAAUUGAGUUAGUUGUAAAAUAAAUAAUGAAUAUUAUGUAGUAAUAAUAUAAAAACUAAUAUGUGCAUGUGUAAUUUUACCUUUCCCUUGUAUUGCUAGCAUAUAACCUUCUCUUCCGUGAACUUUAUCGAAAUGAUAGAGUAGUGCCAACAAGAGGAAAUAAUUUGCUACACACUCAAUGCAAUUAAAUUAGUGUAAAUCAUUGUUAUGUUUCUUUUAACUAAAUUGAAUUAAAAUAUGAUUCAGGUUACUUAAGAGAAAAAAUAAUAUAUACUAAUACUAAUUUAAUUGCAUGUAAAAGUGUGUGGCAAAAUAUCUCUUUAUGUGGAUGAUAUUAUUGUCAAUGCAGUAAUUCAUCUCGUAUCUCAGAGUUGGUUCUAUAACUUGGGAAGAUGUUUGAUAUGAAAGAUCUUGACCCUUUACAUUUCUUUCUGAGGUAAAGUAUGUUGCUGAACUGUUGGCCAAGAUAGAGAUGACUUUGGCAAAGGCGGUAGCCAUUCCUGUGGCUCAAAAGCAUAGUUUCCAUGAAGCUGUAGGAAGUCUUGUAGAUGCCUCUUUGUACAAAAUGAUAGUAGGGAGCCUUCCGUAUUUGACCCUCACAAAACCUGAUAUAAGUCAUGCUAUAAAUUUAGCAAGCCAGUUUCUGCAAAGUCCAAACAUUGAACAUAUUGAAGCGGUAAAAGGGAUUUUCAAGUACAUUAAAGCAAGUUAGGAGCCACAAAUCCUCCAAUCAUUAGCUAGAGGGGAAGUGUUGUAGGAAACUUGAAGUUCCUCCAAUCAUUAGCUAGAGGGGAAGUGUUGUAGGAAACUUGAAGACUGAUGGAACAUGUCGAAGGAAUAGUAGACCGAUGAGCAUGUUAAAGGGGCAGAUUCAUUGAAGCAGACUAACAAGUUAGAGUUGGAGUCAUACUAGGACUAGACUACUAAAUCUCAAGUUAUGUACGACUAAGCUACUGUAUAUUGUAGGAGUCAACAAGGAUAAGGUAUUUGAGUUAUAAUACAAUACUACUCAUGUAAACAAUUGUGUUGUAGUAGGAUUCAUAGUAUAACUAGAAUAUGACUCUUCUCCUAUAUGAGGAGCUUGUGACUCAACAUUAUUUUCAUCAAUGCAUCCUCGAUUUCUCCAUA